rnacentral:rRNA from 2 species
AAAUUGAAGAGUUUGAUCAUGGCUCAGAUUGAACGCUGGCGGCAGGCCUAACACAUGCAAGUCGAGCGGAAACGAGUUAUCUGAACCUUCGGGGAACGAUAACGGCGUCGAGCGGCGGACGGGUGAGUAAUGCCUAGGAAAUUGCCCUGAUGUGGGGGAUAACCAUUGGAAACGAUGGCUAAUACCGCAUGAUGCCUACGGGCCAAAGAGGGGGACCUUCGGGCCUCUCGCGUCAGGAUAUGCCUAGGUGGGAUUAGCUAGUUGGUGAGGUAAGGGCUCACCAAGGCAACGAUCCCUAGCUGGUCUGAGAGGAUGAUCAGCCACACUGGAACUGAGACACGGUCCAGACUCCUACGGGAGGCAGCAGUGGGGAAUAUUGCACAAUGGGCGCAAGCCUGAUGCAGCCAUGCCGCGUGUGUGAAGAAGGCCUUCGGGUUGUAAAGCACUUUCAGUCGUGAGGAAGGUAGUGUAGUUAAUAGCUGCAUUAUUUGACGUUAGCGACAGAAGAAGCACCGGCUAACUCCGUGCCAGCAGCCGCGGUAAUACGGAGGGUGCGAGCGUUAAUCGGAAUUACUGGGCGUAAAGCGCAUGCAGGUGGUUUGUUAAGUCAGAUGUGAAAGCCCGGGGCUCAACCUCGGAAUAGCAUUUGAAACUGGCAGACUAGAGUACUGUAGAGGGGGGUAGAAUUUCAGGUGUAGCGGUGAAAUGCGUAGAGAUCUGAAGGAAUACCGGUGGCGAAGGCGGCCCCCUGGACAGAUACUGACACUCAGAUGCGAAAGCGUGGGGAGCAAACAGGAUUAGAUACCCUGGUAGUCCACGCCGUAAACGAUGUCUACUUGGAGGUUGUGGCCUUGAGCCGUGGCUUUCGGAGCUAACGCGUUAAGUAGACCGCCUGGGGAGUACGGUCGCAAGAUUAAAACUCAAAUGAAUUGACGGGGGCCCGCACAAGCGGUGGAGCAUGUGGUUUAAUUCGAUGCAACGCGAAGAACCUUACCUACUCUUGACAUCCAGAGAACUUUCCAGAGAUGGAUUGGUGCCUUCGGGAACUCUGAGACAGGUGCUGCAUGGCUGUCGUCAGCUCGUGUUGUGAAAUGUUGGGUUAAGUCCCGCAACGAGCGCAACCCUUAUCCUUGUUUGCCAGCGAGUAAUGUCGGGAACUCCAGGGAGACUGCCGGUGAUAAACCGGAGGAAGGUGGGGACGACGUCAAGUCAUCAUGGCCCUUACGAGUAGGGCUACACACGUGCUACAAUGGCGCAUACAGAGGGCGGCCAACUUGCGAAAGUGAGCGAAUCCCAAAAAGUGCGUCGUAGUCCGGAUUGGAGUCUGCAACUCGACUCCAUGAAGUCGGAAUCGCUAGUAAUCGUGGAUCAGAAUGCCACGGUGAAUACGUUCCCGGGCCUUGUACACACCGCCCGUCACACCAUGGGAGUGGGCUGCAAAAGAAGUAGGUAGUUUAACCUUCGGGGGGACGCUUACCACUUUGUGGUUCAUGACUGGGGUGAAGUCGUAACAAGGUAGCGCUAGGGGAACCUGGCGCUGGAUCACCUCCUUAUACGAUGAU